UAACAAGGUUUCCGUAGGUGAACCUGCGGAAGGAUCAUUACAGAAUGAAAAGUGCUUAACUGCAUUUUUUCUUACACAUGUGUUUUUCUUUUUUUGAAAACUUUGCUUUGGUAGGCCUUCUAUAUGGGGCCUGCCAGAGAUUAAACUCAACCAAAUUUUAUUUAAUGUCAACCGAUUAUUUAAUAGUCAAAACUUUCAACAACGGAUCUCUUGGUUCUCGCAUCGAUGAAGAACGCAGCGAAAUGCGAUAAGUAAUAUGAAUUGCAGGUAUUCGUGAAUCAUCGAAUCUUUGAACGCACAUUGCGCCCUUUGGUAUUCCAAAGGGCAUGCCUGUUUGAGCGUCAUUUCUCCCUCAAACCCUCGGGUUUGGUGUUGAGCGAUACGCUGGGUUUGCUUGAAAGAAAGGCGGAGUAUAAACUAAUGGAUAGGUUUUUUCCACUCAUUGGUACAAACUCCAAAACUUCUUCCAAAUUCGACCUCAAAUCAGGUAGGACUACCCGCUGAACUUAAGCAU
rnacentral:rRNA from 1 species